AGAGCUGCAGGGAAUAGAGUUGGGGUGCUCAGCUCUCUGUCUGUCCCUUGGUUCAGAAUUGGAUCGUAUCUGUCUCUACCUAAUAAUAAAAGUAGCAUGGGCUUCGUCCGUCGGUGUUUUUUGCGUUUUAGUCCUUCGUUUCUUCAAGAAUCAACGCACGGUACGAAACUGGACUUUUCUGCAAAAACGGAUUUACCCCUGCCUCCACUCCUCCUCCCAUGGCCGCAGUCCCGCACUCCUCUCUCGUCCGCUCGCCCGGCCGCCGGCCUCCUCCCUCCUCGGCGCGCCCCGGCCCCAGUCUCCUCCCUCCUCCGCCCACGGCCUGGAGACUGCCGGAUCCGGCCAGGCCGCCGGCCUCCUCCCUCCUCCGCCCGCAGCCUGGAGGCCGCCGGAUCCGGCCCCGCCAUGCACCGGCCUCCUCCAUCCUCCGCCCACGGCAUGGAGGCUGCAGGAUCCGUCCGCGGCGGAUCCGGACGCCCCGACGCCGCCGGCCUCGAUCUGGCCGACCCGAGGUAUGGGCUUCUUUUCUCCUCUCCGGUUCUCUCUCUUCUUUUCUCUCUCUGGUUCUCUCUCUCUCUUCUUCCCGUGCUGCAGAUCCGGCCAUCCUUGGCCGCCUCUCUUCCCCGCCACAGAUGGCCAUGGAGGUGAGGAGUUCGGCACCUCGGCUCCUCCACCGAAGAGACCGACCUGGAGCCACUGCAGAUAGCCCACUUUUUUGAAUUUGGUUCUUCCUAAUUUUUUUGAGAGGUGGUUCGCUGUAAUUAGCGUUGAUCAUCAUAUGAAAUUUCAGACCCGUGACCUUCCUUUUGUUUUAAAUCUUCAAAUCGGUAUCAUUGCUUGUGUGCUUGGAUUCACGAUUUAAUCGAGAUCUCAAAAAUGUGAAAAAGCAGUUUGCGGCUGAUGGAAGUAAACAAUGCAAGCGCUCUUGCUGCUUGUGCUUCGUUAGGGCGAUUAGAUGUUGGCAUCAAGUUGCAUGAGCUUGCGAGAAGUAAGGAAUUCAUCAGAUACGUGGUUGCAAACGCGCUCCUCCUGCUCUGCUUCAGUCCGUGCGGUGAUACGUGGUUGUGUAUAUGUAUCUUGCUAUGCAGUGGUUGGGUUCAGUCUUAUGUGGAUGCAUCCACUAUGACAACAAGUUUAAUCAUAAA